rnacentral:rRNA from 1 species
UUAAAUUGAAGAGUUUGAUCAUGGCUCAGAUUGAACGCUGGCGGCAGGCCUAACACAUGCAAGUCGAACGGUAACAGGAAUCAGCUUGCUGAUUCGCUGACGAGUGGCGGACGGGUGAGU